rnacentral:sRNA from 1 species
CAGGUACUGGUCUGGCGCCAUUUAGAAGUGUGAUAUUGGAUAGAUGUACUGCAGAACACUCCGCAGCCUUAGUGUUGUUCUUUGGCUGCCGCAGUCAGUUGAAAGACUUUUAUUGUAAAGAAGACUUCUGUACAUUAACUCAAAGUGGACCACUGAAACUCUUUACUGCUUUCUCUAGAGAUCAGGAAAACAAAGUUUAUGUUCAACAAAGAAUUCUUGAGCAAGGGGACUUAAUCUGGAAAAUGAUAUACUUGGAUAAAGCUUC